CCAAACUCAGUCUCUCUCGCUCUCUCAACCCUCUAACUAGAUCGUCGGUGUGAAGAUCUCCUUCAAAUCCAAAAGGGUGGCAGUUUUAUUAAUCCUUGUUAAAUUGGAAAGAAGAUAGCAAAACAAAUUAGACCGACAUAUUUGCACAAUUUCUUUAGAAUCUGAAAUCGAAGAUGUUGAUGACACAAGCCCUUUUUUCACAAUCUCUUGCCCACAGAUUCUCGACUCAGAAGUAAGAUGAUUCCUGUCUCUUGAAGCAGAUCCUUAAAAGCUAUGUACUUGCAUUGGGGUGAAAAAAGUCACUGAAUGAAUUGGUCGAGGACAAUAUGUUUCAUUGACUCUCAUAAAGAGCAAUGUAAGUUGAAAACCUUUUGUCCGAGAAUAAAAGGAGCGUAGCAGCCAGGUAUUACAUGGAAAAAGAGAUUUUUCGCCUCCUCCAAAUCACUGGUAUGGCUAUCAACAUGUGGGUUCCAGAUCCUCUGUGGCCUCAAUUUCAUUAUAAGUUGGAAAUGAUUAUUUCGUUAUAAAUCAUCUCAACAAGUUCCAACUCCUUGUAUUAUAGGUUUCAUUUUCACAUGAGAUUGGGAAUCCGUGAGCCUAUGUAUUACUUUCCAUGAAGCAUUUCAAUUGCAAUAGCCUCAUCUUUAUUUCAGACAGUAUUCUCAAUUGUCAUACUUUAAUUUCUGGUUAUAAGCUAAGAAAGGUUGAACAGGAUGUAAUCAUGCUUGUAUGCACUUUUAUGUUUUUAGUCUUGCUUUUCCAUUUAGUGUUUUCUUGUAUUAUUGACAACAUUCUAUUGGGAUGUAUAUACAUACAGGUGCUACUGUAUUCGUCGUGAUAAUAAUAUUGGGAGCUAUUUUCAGCCUGUCGAAAGAAUUAAGAUUGCCAAUUCAUGGGAAGAAGUUGAGGAAACAGUUUGGGGGGAUCUAAACGAUUAUGCGGCCGGCUUCCGUUGACGAGUACAAAUCCAACCGAUGUAUUUGCACAAUUUCUUCAGAAUCUGAAAUCGAAGACAUCUGGGACACAAGCCAUUUUUUUUUUUCACAAAACAAAAAUGUAAAACAAAAGAAUUGUUGUACAGCUAUGGACUUGUCACUGGAACUAAUUUAUAGUCCCAUAGAAUUGUUGUUAUCCGAGAGCAAAACAAAGAAGCAAAAAGACAGUAAAUGAAAAAAAAAUGAUUUCAGG
rnacentral:lncRNA from 1 species